rnacentral:rRNA from 1 species
UACGUAGGUGGCAAGCGUUAUCCGGAAUUAUUGGGCGUAAAAGGCGCGCGCAGGUGGUUUUCUUAAGUCUGAUGUGAAAAGCCCCACGGCUCAACCGUGGAGGGGUCAUUGGAAAACUGGGGAGACUUUGAGUGCAGAAGAGGAAAGUGGAAAUUCCAUGUGUAGCGGUGAAAAUGCGUAGAGAUAUGGAGGAACACCAGUGGCGAAGGCGACUUUCUGGUCUGUAACUGACACUGAGGCGCGAAAAGCGUGGGGGAGCAAAACAGG